rnacentral:rRNA from 1 species
GAUGAACGCUGGCGGCGUGCCUAAUACAUGCAAGUCGAGCGAACGGACGAGAAGCUUGCUUCUCUGAUGUUAGCGGCGGACGGGUGAGUAACACGUGGAUAACCUACCUAUAAGACUGGGAUAACUUCGGGAAACCGGAGCUAAUACCGGAUAAUAUUUUGAACCGCAUGGUUCAAAAGUGAAAGACGGUCUUGCUGUCACUUAUAGAUGGAUCCGCGCUGCAUUAGCUAGUUGGUAAGGUAACGGCUUACCAAGGCAACGAUGCAUAGCCGACCUGAGAGGGUGAUCGGCCACCCUGGAACUGAGACACGGUCCAGACUCCUACGGGAGGCAGCAGUAGGGAAUCUUCCGCAGUGGGCGAAAGCCUGACGGAGCAACGCCGCGUGAGUGAUGAAGGUCUUCGGAUCGUAAAACUCUGUUAUUAGGGAUGAACAUAUGUGUAAGUAACUGUGCACAUCUUGACGGUACCUAAUCAGAAAGCCACGGCUAACUACGUG